CAAACUUUCAACAACGGAUCUCUAGGCUCUCGCAUCGAUGAAGAACGCA
rnacentral:rRNA from 1 species